AGCUGGGAUUCCAGCCGGCUGUUCCAAUCCAGGAGGAAAACUGUGCCACUGAAGUCUCCCAGCACCUGUGCAGUGAAGUGCCACUUAACCCCACUGUGAUGCACAGACCUUGCCCUGGCUGUCUGCACAGGGCUGAAUUUCACCCCUUCAGAGUGUAUUCUAAGGGACCCCGUGCGUCAUAUGGGCAUUCUUGGGAGUGCGGACUGCAUCAGACCUGCACCUGA
rnacentral:lncRNA from 1 species